GUGGCUGGGCCCCGUCUGACCCGGGGCUGCGAAGUGCUGCUUCUCCUGGGAUCUUCUGUCCAGGGACACCUGUGCGUCUGAGCAGAAAGGCCACCAGGGGCCCCAUGGCUCACUGUUCAGAUGAGGGACCAGAGGAGCCAGCCAAACGGGGCUGGGCAGUGCUCGCCCACAGGCCCAGCAGCUCACCUUCCAAAGGCCCAGAACUACCCCUGGCCUUGGUGAAGACCCCACCGGACCCCAGGCUGGCCGUUCCUGCCCUGCUGAGGCUGUGAGCACCCAGAUGCGAGGCUUCAACCCAGGGGGCCAGGAGGCUCAGCCCUGGUGCCAGAAGACCUGUGGGCACUGACACCCUGAUCCCGAUGAAGCUCCCGUUUCCGCAGCGACCCAACAGGACAGGAAAACCAACUGCGCCAUGGGGUCCCUCCUGGUAUCUGAUCAGUCUCCCUGGGAGGGGCAGCGUGUCCAGGAGCUUGAUGCGAUACUUGCCGAUGGCCUUUCGAACCUGCAGCCGGCAAAGGUGAGCCAGGGGUCUCGGAGGUUCUGCAGAAA